rnacentral:rRNA from 1 species
CGUGUAGGCGGCCAGAUAAGUCCGCUGUGAAAUCUCGAGGCUCAACUUCGAGCUGUCGGUGGAAACUGUCUGGCUAGAGUCCGGAAGAGGAGAAUGGAAUUCCUGGUGUAGCGGUGAAAUGCGCAGAUAUCAGGAAGAACACCCGUGGCGAAGGCGGUUCUCUGGGACGGUACUGACGCUGAGACGCGAAAGCGUGGGGAGCGAACA